AUAUCAGUCAUGCAUAGCAUAUCAAUAAGCGGAGGAAAAGAAACUAACAAGGAUUCCCUUAGUAACGGCGAGUGAAGCGGGAAGAGCUCAAAUUUGAAAUCUUCAAGGUUUUACCUUGACGAAUUGUAGUUUAAAGAAGUGUUUUCUGUUGAAGUUUUGGUAAAAGUUCUUUGGAAUAGGACAUCAUAGAGGGUGAGAAUCCCGUAUUUGACCAUUACUUUCAGCUUUGUGAUACACUUUCAAAGAGUCGGAUUGUUUGGGAAUGCAGUCCAAAAUGGGUGGUAAAUUUCAUCUAAAGCUAAAUAUUGGCGAGAGACCGAUAGCGAACAAGUACCGUGAGGGGAAAGAUGAAAAGAACUUUGAAAAGAGAGUUAAACAGCUACGUGAAAUUGUCAAAAGGGAAGCGUUUGACACCAGUGUUGUUUUCUCGAAAAUCAAUUAAAAAGAGUUGGAUUUUGUGUUGUAUUGACUUUAUCAGCUUUCUUCACUCUUUUCCAGCUUUUUUUAAUGCACUUUUCGUUUAACAAGUCAACAUCAGUUUCUUUUGUUGUAAAAAGGUCAUUGGAAGGUGGCUUUCUCUUCGGAGAAAGUGUUUAUAGCCUUUGACUCAUGCAAUCGGAGAGACUGAGGUCUGCAGCGUAGAUCCUUCGGGGUUAGAUACAUUUGUGCUAAGUUAUAGCUUUUCAUAGACAACUUGUUGACUAUGUUUAGUCUCGUAGCUUACUCGCUUAUGCUAUUUUACCUACGCUUAGGAUGUUGAACUCUAUCACACACAG
rnacentral:rRNA from 1 species